CACUGCCUGGGGUCAUGGAGGCUCACACGCAUGGAGCCAAUCACAGUCAUCUGGAGGAUUUCCCUUUUACUUGCUAUUAAUGUAUGCCAGCCUCUUGCCUCAUAUAAGGUAAUAGAAAAGUUUUUGCUCCCCAAGUGAUGCAUCCUUCAAAAGAGAGGUUUUCUUGGGAAACUCCCUCAGUAGGGACAGUAGACAGUAGGGUCCAUUUGAAGUGCACAGCUGCCAUGGUCUACUCUUUCACAUACUUCCACUAAUGUCACAUUUGUCCAAGCAGCAGCACCCUUCUGCCUAGGCUUUGUGUCGAAGACAGACCUUUAUAAAUUCCCUUCUCUACCAUGGAACAGUCUAAGGUAUGACAAAUGCUUUCUUGUGGACCAGUGCAGGCAGUGACAAGUCAAGAUGAUGGAAUAAUGUGCUGCAACUGUACCCAUGUGGUGCUUCAUGUUACUGCUGGUUAAGGAGCCUUGCUGUUCUGUGGAUUGUUAAUUCAACAUUAUGCAUGCCUAGUGCCGGGAAAGUGAAGACCCUACACAUGGUUUGUUUGUUCUGUGGUUCGGUGAAAUAUAGCUCACGAAUUUACUUUGGUUGUGCCACUGCAGCUUAUAAUAAGUAUUUUACUGUUAAUUUUUCUAGAUUACUACUUUUGUGUUACCGCUUUUUGACUGACAAAGCUCAGAGGCCUAUCACAGCUUUUAAUAUCCUACAAGUACAAAAAAUGGAAUCAGCAGAGAGAAAAAGUGCCCUACAAUGUGUGAAGAAGGAAGAAUGAGAAAUCAAACAGAUAUAGUAUGUAUUCAGCCUGGGGUUACUGUGCCCAUUCUCUCAACAUUCUCAAGGAUGAGAAUACAUUUUAUCUGCACAGAAAAUGAGUGUGAAUGUGAUCGAGUCCUCAGGCCCAAGGUGCAGUGCUGCAUCUCUGGUCAAUUGGGAGUCUGAGAUGAAGCACUGUAGCACGGGAAGAGGGACACUGCUACUGUAAACACACAUCACCAUUCGUAUUAACUUUUUAUUAGCCAAAUUUAAUAAUAAAAUGUAAAUUAAAUAUCUUUAAUGUAACUACUGUAACUUUUUAAUUUUUAACACAUUAAAGAAGAUCAGUGCCCAGAAUAGAUAUGCAUUUGUGGCUCAAUAAGGAUCUGAGCUACUAAUCAGAAGGUUGAGAGUUCAAAUCCCAGCACCACCAGCUGCUAUUGUUGAGCCCUUUAAAAAGCCCAUAACUUUAAUCUGUUUGGUUCAGUAAUUCAGCUUGGAUAAAAGCUUCUGUCAAAUGAAUAAAUGUACAAUGUUUUAUAGAUAGUAUUUACCUCUUGGUGAUUUCCUUUUGUCUAAUACACACUUUCUUCCCUGUCCCCGGGGUCCAGUUUUCCCAGGAAUCCCUUGGGAAAUUACAAAGGGGAUUCCUGGAAAUACUGUUCUUGGGGGUGGGGUUAGACAUCAUGAAUGUCAUUUAAACUGUAUCAUAUAACAUUGUAAUUACUUGUUAAGUUUGUGGUUAACAUGGGAUAAACAAACAAUGUACUGUACAUGCAACUGUAACUGUAAGUCUUCUCAGUAUUUUGUUUUAAGUAUCUUGUAAUACAAAUAUUAACCGAAUGUAACACUCUUAAUAAAAUUGUGCUUAAUUCAAACCAUA